CCUACGGGUGACAGCAGUGGGGAAUAUUGCACACUGGGGGAAACCCUGAUGCAGCGACGCCGCGUGAGUGAAGAAGUAUUUCGGUACGUAAAGCUCUAUCAGCAGGGAAGAAAAUGACGGUACCUGACUAAGAAGCCCCGGCUAACUACGUGCCAGCAGCCGCGGUAAUACGUAGGGGGCAAGCGUUAUCCGGAUUUACUGGGUGUAAAGGGAGCGUAGACGGCAGCGCAAGUCUGGAGUGAAAUCCCAUGGCUUAACCAUGGAACUGCUUUGGAAACUGUGCAGCUAGAGUGCAGGAGAGGUAAGCGGAAUUCCUAGUGUAGCGGUGAAAUGCGUAGAUAUUAGGAGGAACACCAGUGGCGAAGGCGGCUUACUGGACUGUAACUGACGGUGAGGCUCGAAAGCGUGGGGAGCAAACAGGAUUAGAUACCCGGGUAGUC
rnacentral:rRNA from 1 species